UACAGAGGUGGCAAGCGUUGUUCGGAAUUACUGGGCGUAAAGGGCGCGUAGGUGGCCUUUUGAGUCAGACGUGAAAUCCCCCGGCUUAACCUGGGAACUGCGUCUGAUACUGGAAGGCUUGAGUUCGGGAGAGGGAUGUGGAAUUCCAGGUGUAGCGGUGAAAUGCGUAGAUAUCUGGAGGAACACCGGUGGCGAAGGCGGCAUCCUGGACCGAGAUUGACACUGAUGAGCGAAAGCCAGGGGAGCAAACGGG
rnacentral:rRNA from 1 species